rnacentral:rRNA from 1 species
GCAAGUCGAACGAGAAGCUCUAGCUUGCUAGAGUGGAAAGUGGCGAACGGGUGCGUAACGCGUAGGCAAUCUACCCUCAGGCGGGGAAUAACUACUCGAAAGAGUAGCUAAUACCGCAUAACAUCUUUUGAUCGCAUGAUCGAGAGAUCAAAACUCUGGUGUCUGGGGACGAGCCUGCGUCGGAUUAGGUAGUUGGUAAGGUAACGGCUUACCAAGCCUACGAUCCGUAGCUGGUCUGAGAGGAUGAUC